rnacentral:misc_RNA from 1 species
GAUGAAGAACGCAGUGAAAUGCGAUAAGUAAUGCGAAUUGCAGAAUUCAGUGAGUCAUCGAAUCUUUGAACGCACAUUGCGCCCUGUGGUAUUCCGCAGGGCAUGCCUGUUCGAGCGUCAUUUCAACCCUCAAGCUCUGCUUGGUGUUGGGCCCUGCCCGCUGCGGCCGGCCCUAAAGACAGUGGCGGUGCCGCCUGGCCCUGAGCGUAGUACAUCUCUCGCUCCAGUGACCGGUGGUAGCCUGCCAGAACCCCAACUCUCGUGGUUGACCUCGGAUCAGGUAGGGAUACCCGCUGAACUUAAGCAUAUCAAUAAGCGGAGGA